rnacentral:rRNA from 1 species
UUCCGGUUGAUCCUGCCGGAGGUCAUUGCUAUUGGAGUCCGAUUUAGCCAUGCUAGUCGCACGAGUUUAGACUCGUGGCAUAUAGCUCAGUAACACGUGGCCAAACUACCCUACAGACCGCGAUAACCUCGGGAAACUGAGGCCAAUAGCGGAUACAGCUCUCAUGCUGGAGUGCAGAGAGCCGGAAACGUUUCGGCGCUGUAGGAUGUGGCUGCGGCCGAUUAGGUAGAUGGUGGGGUAACGGCCCACCAUGCCAAUAAUCGGUACAGGUUGUGAGAGCAAGAGCCUGGAGACGGUAUCUGAGACAAGAUACCGGGCCCUACGGGGCGCAGCAGGCGCGAAACCUUUACACUGCACGAUAGUGCGAUAAGGGGACUCCGAGUGCGAGGGCAUAUAGCCCUCGCUUUUCGAUGCCGUAGGGAGGUACAGGAACAAGUGCUGGGCAAGACCGGUGCCAGCCGCCGCGGUAAUACCGGCAGCACGAGUGAUGACCGAUAUUAUUGGGCCUAAAGCGUCCGUAGCCGGCCAAGCAAGUCCGUUGGGAAAUCGACGCGCUCAACGCGUCGGCGUCCGGCGGAAACUGUUUGGCUUGGGGCCGGAAGACCUGAGGGGUACGUCCGGGGUAGGAGUGAAAUCCUGUAAUCCUGGACGGACCACCGUUGGCGAAAG